rnacentral:rRNA from 1 species
AGCUCUAAUAGCGUAUAUUAAUGUUGUUGUGGUUAAAAAGCUCGUAGUUGAAAAUCAGCAGCGCAUAGUCGGUUCCCAUCGCUGGGCUACUGUCUGAUUCUGCUGUCAGCAGUGUACUAUUCCGCGCUGGUGCCUUUAACCGGGUGUCUGUGCGGCAGUACAGCUUUACUUUGAAAAAAUUAGGGUGUUCACGGCAGGCUUUCACGCCUGAAUGAUAGCGCAUGGAAUAAUGGAAAAGGAUUCUUUGCCCUUUUCGUUGGUGUCACGGCGACAGAAUAAUGAUUAAAAGGGACUGCCGAGGGCAUUACUAUUCAAAGGCUAGAGGUGAAAUUCUUGGACCCUUUGAAGAGUCACUGCGGCGAAAGCAUUUGCCAAGAAUGUUU